GACGAACGCUGGCGGCGUGCUUAACACAUGCAAGUCGAACGAAGUGGCGAACGGGUGAGUAACGCGUAAUCAACCUGCCCUUCAGAGGGGGAUAACAGUUGGAAACGACUGCUAAUACCGCAUACUGAAGGAGGGGUUUGCGUCUGAUUAGCUAGUUGGAGGGGUACCGGCCCACAAAGGCGAUGAUCAGUAGCCGGGCUGGGAGGAAGAACGGCCAAAUUGGGAAUGGGACAAGGCCCAGACUCCUAAGGGAGGCAGGAGGGGGGAAUGUUCCGCAAUGGACGAAAGGCUGACGGAGCAACGCCGCGGGAGUGAUGACGGCCUUCGGGGUGGAAAGCUCUGUUAAUCGGGACGCGGUACCGGAAUAGAAAGCCACGGCUAACUACGUGCCAGCAGCCGCGGUAAUAC
rnacentral:rRNA from 1 species